rnacentral:rRNA from 1 species
GACGAACGCUGGCGGCGUGCUUAACACAUGCAAGUCGAACGGUAAGGCCCUUCGGGGUACACGAGUGGCGAACGGGUGAGUAACACGUGGGUGAUCUGCCCUGCACUUCGGGAUAAGCCUGGGAAACUGGGUCUAAUACCGGAUAGGACUCCGGACUGCAUGGUCUGGGGUGGAAAGCUUUUGCGGUGUGGGAUGGGCCCGCGGCCUAUCAGCUUGUUGGUGGGGUGAUGGCCUACCAAGGCGACGACGGGUAGCCGGCCUGAGAGGGUGACCGGCCAGACUGGGACUGAGAUACGGCCCAGACUCCUACGGGAGGCAGCAGUGGGGAAUGUGGCACAAUGGGCGCAAGCCUGAUGCAGCGACGCCGCGUGAGGGAUGACGGCCUUCGGGUUGUAAACCUCUUUCAGCAUCGACGAAGCGAAAGUGACGGUAGGUGCAGAAGAAGGACCGGCCAACUACGUGCCAGCCGCCGCCGUAA